UACGAAGGGUGCAAGCGUUAAUCGGAAUUACUGGGCGUAAAGCGUGCGUAGGCGGUGACUUAAGUCUGUUGUGAAAUCCCCGGGCUCAACCUGGGAAUGGCAAUGGAUACUGGGUCGCUAGAGUGUGAUAGAGGAUGGUGGAAUUCCCGGUGUAGCGGUGAAAUGCGUAGAGAUCGGGAGGAACAUCAGUGGCGAAGGCGGCCAACUGGACGAGUACUGACGCUGAGACACGAAAGCGUGGGGAGCAAACAGGG
rnacentral:rRNA from 1 species